rnacentral:rRNA from 1 species
GACGAACGCUGGCGGCGUGCCUAAUACAUGCAAGUAGAACGCUGAAGAGAAGAGCUUGCUCUUCUUGGAUGAGUUGCGAACGGGUGAGUAACGCGUAGGUAACCUGCCUGGUAGCGGGGGAUAACUAUUGGAAACGAUAGCUAAUACCGCAUAAAAUUGAUUAUUGCAUGAUAAUUAAUUGAAAGAUGCAAUUGCAUCACUACCAGAUGGACCUGCGUUGUAUUAGCUAGUUGGUGAGGUAACGGCUCACCAAGGCGACGAUACAUAGCCGACCUGAGAGGGUGAUCGGCCACACUGGGACUGAGACACGGCCCAGACUCCUACGGGAGGCAGCAGUAGGGAAUCUUCGGCAAUGGGGGGAACCCUGACCGAGCAACGCCGCGUGAGUGAAGAAGGUUUUCGGAUCGUAAAGCUCUGUUGUAAGAGAAGAACGGGUGUGAGAGUGGAAAGUUCACACUGUGACG